rnacentral:lncRNA from 1 species
CUUCAAGACUCCAGAGGAGGCUAGAAUCAGAGGACUAGGAUGACUCUCAGACGCAUUCCCAGGGGCAUCAGCAUUGGCUGCUAAAAGAGCAAAGGGAGCCCCCAGAGAGAACACUACCAUUAAUUGAACCCUUGCCAUGUGACAAGCAGAGCCGCUGUCAUCACAUACAGCUACUUUGUGCAAAUUAGAGGAAGACAACCCUUCCUCUGGGGGCAGGUGUAGCUCCACACAAGGGUGCAGAGCCUGGCAGGAAAGGUACAGGCUGGCUCUUGGCCACUGCUGGUUGCCUGGAGGCACAACACAUGGCGAUGUUGGUGCCAAGUGCUGUAGAACAAUGUAAUAGACAAGAUCCUUGUCCAACAAGGGGAAAGAGACAGCAACAGUGCACUGCGAUGAAGAACAGAAUAAAGUAAAUGUUUAAUGAAAGCACCACCAGGAAACAGGAUUAUCAGAAGGAUUGGGGAAACAGGAUGGGAACUAGGAGAGCUUCAGGGAAGAGGGAUGCUUAACCCAGGUCCUGAGGGAUGAUACGCUGGAAAAGCUGCAUGGAUAAAGGCACAGAAAUGUGAGAUGGUUUGUGGACCUCAGUGUAAGGACGGCGAUGGGAAAUGGGACAAGAUCCAGAACACUGGUGUUUGUCCUUCAGGUCACAGUAAGAAGGGGAGCAAGAUGAUUAUCAGUGGCACUACUUAGGAAGUUCCUGAAAUUGGAUUAACCGGGAGGCUUAGGAGGUGAAAUCAGUGAGUCCAGGAGCCAGACUGAUGAGGGAGGAAGGAGUCUAGCAUUUCCUCCAGAGACUCUGGCUUGGGCAAAUAAAAGGGUAGCAGUGCCAUCAUUGUUUAAUAGGUACAGAGUUUCAAUUUGGCAAGAUUUUUGUUUUAAAGUUCUGGAGAUGGAUGUAGUAUUGAUGUGAAUGUCCUUGGUACCAUUGGACUAUACACUCAAGAAUGGAAAAUGGUAAAAUGGCAUUAUAUGAAUUUUACCACAAUUUUCUUUAAAUGGGAAGCAAAGGGCAGUGCUGAGAUGUGGAAGAGAUAAUAAAUCACAGCUCGGAAGCUUCAGCUGUCAGUUUCUUCUCCCAGGCUCCCAGGGGCUAUCUCUUCUGGAUGCUGUCUGCUCCUUGGUCUAUUUCUGUUGUGCCAGGCUCUACCAUCGUGUCAUGUUUGCACGUCCAGCUGUCUCUGGAAUGUAAGAUCCUUGAGGUGGUCUUUCAUUUUAUGUCCCAGGUGUGCCUCUCUGACUUUGAC